AUGAUUUACAUUUGAGUGAGUGGCGAACUGGUGAGUAACACGUGGGAAACCUGCCCAGAAGCGGGGGAUAACACCUGGAAACAGAUGCUAAUACCGCAUAACAACUUGGACCGCAUGGUCCGAGCUUGAAAGAUGGCUUCGGCUAUCACUUUUGGAUGGUCCCGCGGCGUAUUAGCUAGAUGGUGGGGUAACGGCUCACCAUGGCAAUGAUACGUAGCCGACCUGAGAGGGUAAUCGGCCACAUUGGGACUGAGACACGGCCCAAACUCCUACGGGAGGCAGCAGUAGGGAAUCUUCCACAAUGGACGAAAGUCUGAUGGAGCAACGCCGCGUGAGUGAAGAAGGGUUUCGGCUUGUAAAACUCUGUUGUUAAAGAAGAACAUAUCUGAGAGUAACUGUUCAGGUAUUGACGGUAUUUAACCAGAAAGCCACGGCUAACUACGUGCCAGCAGCCGCGGUAAUACGUAGGUGGCAAGCGUUGUCCGGAUUUAUUGGGCGUAAAGCGAGCGCAGGCGGUUUUUUAAGUCUGAUGUGAAAGCCUUCGGCUCAACCGAAGAAGUGCAUCGGAAACUGGGAAACUUGAGUGCGGAAGAGGACAGUGGAACUCCAUGUGUAGCGGUGAAAUGCGUAGAUAUAUGGAAGAACACCAGUGGCGAAGGCGGCUGUCUGGUCUGUAACUGACGCUGAGGCUCGAAAGUAUGGGUAGCAAACAGGAUUAGAUACCCUGGUAGUCCAUACCGUAAACGAUGAAUGCUAAGUGUUGGAGGGUUUCCGCCCUUCAGUGCUG
rnacentral:rRNA from 1 species